rnacentral:rRNA from 1 species
AUUGAACGCUGGCGGCAUGCUUUACACAUGCAAGUCGAACGGCAGCGCGGGCUUCGGCCUGGCGGCGAGUGGCGAACGGGUGAGUAAUGCAUCGGAACGUGCCCAGCAGUGGGGGAUAGGACGGCGAAAGCAGGAUUAAUACAGCAUACGACCUGAGGGUGAAAGCGGGGGACCGAAAGGGCUAGCGCGAUUGGAGCUGCCGAUGACGGAUUAGCUAGUUGGUGGGGUAACGGCUUACCAAGGCGACGAUCCGUAGCUGGUCUGAGAGGACGACCAGCCACACUGGGACUGAGACACGGCCCAGACUCCUACGGGAGGCAGCAGUGGGGAAUUUUGGACAAUGGGGGCAAGCCUGACCCAGCCAUGCCGCGUGCGGGAAGAAGGCCUUCGGGUUGUAAACCGCUUUUGUUCGGGAAGAAAUCAUCUGUGCUAAUCCCCCGAGGGGAUGACGGUACCGAAACAGUAAGCACCGGCUAACUACGUG